rnacentral:rRNA from 1 species
UACAGAGACUGCAAGCGUUAUUCGGAUUCACUGGGCGUAAAGGGUGCGUAGGCGGUUGUUUAAGUUUGGUGUGAAAUCUCCCGGCUCAACUGGGAGGGUGCGCCGAAUACUGAAUGACUAGAGUUCGGGAGAGGAGAGUGGAAUUCCCAGUGUAGAGGUGAAAUUCGUAGAUAUUGGGAAGAACACCGGUGGCGAAGGCGGCUCUCUGGACCGUAACUGACGCUGAGACACGAAAGCGUGGGUAGCAAACAGG